rnacentral:rRNA from 1 species
CGCGCAGGCGGCCUAUCAAGUCAGGCGUGAAAGCCCCGGGCUUAACCUGGGAAUUGCGCUUGGGACUGGCAGGCUGGAGUUCGGGAGAGGAGAGUGGAAUCCCCAGUGUAGAGGUGAAAUUCGUAGAUAUUGGGAAGAACACCGGUGGCGAAGGCGGCUCUCUGGACCGAUACUGACGCUGAGGCGCGAAAGCGUGGGGAGCAAACAGGAUUAGAUACCCUGGUAGUCCACGCUGUAAACGAUGUGCGCUAGACGUUGGGAGGCGUAGCCUUCCGGUGUCGCAGCUAACGCUUUAAGCGCACCGCCUGGGGAGUACGGCCGCAAGGUUAAA